GUGGCCCAGGCAGCCAUGGGAUGGGGGGGCAUCUGUCUGAGCAGGAAGUCCAGGGAAGGGGACCCAGGAAGUGACAUCACCUCCGCGAGAUGACAGGGCACACAUGACCUCGGAACCCUGGUCCCCAGGCAGUUGGUUCUGAACCAAACCUGACCCAGCUCACUUUCCUGGUGGGCCUGGACCCGGCACCAUGUUUUGUUGCUGUUUGCCCAGGUCUCCCUGCAGUGGACCCAAAAAAUUUCCCUGAAACUCGUGUCGCACUCUGCUGAAAGGCAUGAGGAGCCUGAGUCGUCGUCUCUGGCCAACAACAGCACUGCCCCUGAGGAAACUAGGGCGGCCCUGGGGACAGAAGGUGUUCUGUGUCCAGGAAGGUGAAGAGAUCCAGAGAGUGCAUUUCCCCGACUGUCCUCCCACAGCCCAGUGUGGGAUCUGUCCCAGCACAGAGCCCUGCUUGAAGUGUACCCACAAUUUGAGAUUGGGGCGCAUGUCCAAAGGAACUGGCUGGAGUACACAAAGCCCCUGGAGGAGCUGUCCGUGGACUUGCCUGGCCCCUGCUGCGCCUUUCCCAUGGGUCUCUACCGGUGGGUGCCUUAGCCUUGUGGCAGGACUUCGGGCCUCAGCGGGCCUGCUUUGGGCAAGCCUGUUUGGCUGGGCCUUACCCAUGAGGGGACAGUUCUCCCAGGUAUCACCAUCCAGGGACUGGAGAGAGGGGUUCUGGGGAGAAAAGACGGAAACCUCACACCCAGGGCAUGCUCCGGAGUCUCCUCUCCUCUGAGCCC